rnacentral:rRNA from 1 species
CCUACGGGUGGCAGCAGUGGGGGAUAUUGCACAAUGCGGGGAACACUGAUGCAGCGACGCCGCGUGAGCGAAGAAGUACCUCGGUAUGUAAAGCUCUAUCAGCAGGGAAGAAAAUGACGGUACCUGACUAAGAAGCCCCGGCUAAAUACGUGCCAGCAGCCGCGGUAAUACGUCUGGGGCAAGCGUUAUCCGGAUUUACUGGGUGGAGAGGGAGCGCAGGCGGCCUGCCAAGUCUGGUGUGAAGACCCGGGGCCCAACCCUUGGCGUGCAUUGGAAACUGUCGGGCUGGAGUGUCGGAGGGGCAGGCAGAAUUCCUAGUGUAGCGGUGAAAUGCGUAGAUAUUAGGAGGAACACCGGUGGCGAAGGCGGCCUGCUGGACGGUGACUGACGCUGAGAUGCGAAAGCGUGGGGAGCAAACAGGAUUAGAUACCCCAGUAGUC